CCUCAAUUUUCUUCAUUCUCCUCCUCUCCUCUCCUCUCCUCUUCCGCUGCCAGAUCCCUUUUGCCCUCCUCUCCAAAUUCGCCGCCCAGAUCCCUUUUGCCCUCCUCUCCGAAUCCGCCUCCGGAUCCUUUUUGCCCUUCUCUCCAUCCUUCUUUCCGAUCAGUGCAACCCUAAAAAUGAGCAACAAACAAUUUCGUCCAGCAGCAGCCGCAAAACCAGCAGCUGGAAAGAAAUGGCGAGCUCGAACAGGCGCGUGAAGACCAUCAGUGAACCUCCAUCGAUGGCAGCAACCCCAAUUCGCGAGCAACCAAGCGACUAUACGGUCUCCGUCCGCAACAUUUUCAGUCUUCUAAGAGUUUCCUAUUUUAUACAAAAGAUCCCUAACCCUCAAUUUUCUUCAUUCUCUUCUCCUCUCCUCUCAAAAUCCGUCGCCUAGAUCUCUUUUGCCCUCCUCUCUGUUUUUCUUUAAAGACAGUACAGCCCGUAGAACAAACAACAAACAACGUCGUCCAGCAGCAGCCGCAGAACCAGCAGCUGGAUAAAAAUGAUGAGCUUCAACAAGCGCGCUAAGACCACCAACUUCAAUCGGCGAGCAACCAAGCGACCAGGCGAUUUUUGUCCGCAACAUUUUGCAGUCUACUGAGAGUUCAGCAACUACAGCAUUGAUGCAGAAACUAUGUGGGAGCUUAAAACUUUGUCAUAAAUUACAACAAGAGCAAGAGUAAAGCCACAUUGAGUUUCUUUCAGCUUUUCUAGUUAUUUUGUGUGGAUUGGAGAUGAGCGUUUCUUUAUUUUCACACUUCAUUUUGUAGAGUUCGGGUUCAAAGAUUGUUGAUGCAUUAAAAGAAUUCGAUCGUCUUUAUUGUUUAUACAUAAUGUAAUAUAUAUUCUCUUGUGUCUCUUUGCUUUAUGAAUAUGUAAAUGCAUACAAGUACUCAUGUUUAAGGUGGGGGAGAGGCGCAUAAUGCAAGCAUGAUCAUCCUCUAGUGGUAAUAAAUUACAAUGAUUCAUUCAAUUAGGGUUCAUUCAUCAUUUUGUUGCUAAUACUCUUCGUCCACGAAUGAAUUAUUUGAUUAUUUAUGUUUAUAGAUUCUGAUAGCGACAGUUCCUCUUGAUGUGAGGAAAUUUUAUGUAAGUGGAUGAGCAUUAGCUAAUAUUACUUUUUUAAAAAAUAUAUAAUUAGUUGUGAAUAUAACGAUAUGAUAACUUGUUUAUUUUUGUGAAUAUUUGUUAAUUAUAGUGAACUCGAUCUAUUAUUUCCAAUUUUAACAAAUAUGAAAAACCAAGGGCUUGAUCAGGCCAUUUCCAGAAAUAUUUUAAUAAUACGAGUGGCUAUCUUUAACAUUCAAUUCAUUCAUCAGUCUCUAAAGUAUUCUUUACUUGCUUAAUUUGUAGGAUAUACAUUUCAGAACUGAUGUUUUGACUCCUGUCAUCUAAGUAACACAUUUCAUGACAUCUGAAAUGUAAUUUCUACAAAUAAAGCAAGUAAAGAACACUUGAGAGACUGGUGGAAGAACUAAAUGUUAAAGAUAGUCACUCGUAUAACAAAAAUAUUUCUGGAAAUGGUCUAAUCAAGUCCUUGUUCAUAUAUGUUAAAAUUGGAAGUAACAGAUUGAGUUCACUAUAAGUAACAAAUAUUUACUAAAAUAAACAAGUUGUCAGAUAUAUAUACAACUAAUUAUAUAUAAAGAAAGUAAUAUUAGUUAAUGAGCAUCUACUUGCGUCAAAUAUUCUCACGUCAAGAGGAAUUGUCGCUAUCAGAAUCCGCAAACACAAAUAAUCAAAUAAUUUAUUUGCCGACCGAGAGUAUUAGCAACAGAAUGAUUAAUGAACCCUAAUUGAAUGAAUCGUUAUAAUUUAUUACCUGUAGAGGAUGAUCCUGCUUACAUUAUGUUGCCUCUCUCCCACCUUAAACAUGACUACUUGUGUGCAUUUUACCUAUUCAAAAAGCAAAGUGAAGCACGAGAUAAUAUAUUACAUUAUGUAUAACUAAUUAAGACUAAAGACUUCUACUCAAUGCAGCAACAAUUUUGAAUCCAAACUCUACAAAAUGAAGUGUGAAAACUCAUAACGCUUAUCUCCAAUCCACACUAGAUAACUAAAAAAGCUGAAAGAAGCUCAAUAUAUCUCCAUGCUAAUCUUUAGCGACCGAUUAAAUAUUCCGUUGCAAAUCGAUUGCUAUAUUAUAAAUCAAAAAAUCAUUUGUUCAUUUUGCAACAAAAUGGUUAUUCCGUCGCAAAUUCAUCGUCAUAUAGUGACGGAAUAUUGUUCGUCGUCAAUAUCUGUCGCUAAACGCUAUUUCUUUUAGUAGUGACUAAGGCAUUCAUGUACCUACUCUUUGCAUAUUCCAAUUAUAUAAACCAGAUUUUUCGCAUAGUUUCCUCCAUCGAAGCCACUUGUAUUGAAAUGUGUUAAAUAUGUUGUGAUUAUCAUGUUGAUGUAUA